AGAAGUGACUCUCACUAAAAUACUCUGAACCUGUUUGCUCAAAUAAAACCAACUUAUUUUUGGAUUCCAAGGUCUGAGUCUCAUAAUUUCUUGCAACAUUUAUGGCGACUCCGCCGGGACUCAGAGCAAUAUUUUGCUGAGGACGGCACGGACCGACCAGUGCUCAGCCGGGGCUGUCUCGCUGACCCUUCAGCCGGCACGGAUGAUUUAUCCAGAAGGGGAAGACGGCACCAUAGGGGUAUCUGGUAGACAACCGACGGAUCCAAGAACCUAAAUGGAAUCAAAAAUAAGUCACGAAAUAACACCAGCUGGAAAGAAGACACCUGCAGGCAACCCCCGACAAAAUUGUGAGAA